rnacentral:rRNA from 1 species
AGCGAACGCUGGCGGCAGGCCUAACACAUGCAAGUCGAACGGAUCCUUCGGGAUUAGUGGCGGACGGGUGAGUAACACGUGGGAACGUGCCCUUUGGCUCGGAACAACUCAGGGAAACUUAAGCUAAUACCGGAUGUGCCCUUCGGGGGAAAGAUUUAUCGCCAUUGGAGCGGCCCGCGUCUGAUUAGCUAGUUGGUGAGGUAAAGGCUCACCAAGGCGACGAUCAGUAGCUGGUCUGAGAGGAUGAUCAGCCACAUUGGGACUGAGACACGGCCCAAACUCCUACGGGAGGCAGCAGUGGGGAAUCUUGCGCAAUGGGCGAAAGCCUGACGCAGCCAUGCCGCGUGAAUGAUGAAGGUCUUAGGAUUGUAAAAUUCUUUCACCGGGGACGAUAAUGACGGUACCCGGAGAAGAAGCCCCGGCUAACUUCGUGCCAGCCGCCGCAGUAA